rnacentral:misc_RNA from 1 species
ACAGAUUCAGGAGACAUGUACAAGAGAGUUUCAUGGAAAGUGUACCGGUAAAAGAAUUUCCUUGAAUAAUCUUCAUCAGGCUCUUUUGCCAAGCCAAAAUCCGCAAUCUUGAGCUGAAAAUCUUGUUGAUCAGAAGGGAAAACAAGGAUAUUGGCAGGCUUAAGGUCACAAUGAACAUAUCCAUUGUUAUGUAUGGAUGAUAACCCUUUAAGAAUCAUCCGAGUGUAUCUCUCACAUCACAUUCAGGUAUUUUCCCCCCAUAUUUGUUUAUCAAGUCUGCAAGACUACCACCAGGAGCAUAUUCCAGUAGUAAGUUAUAAAUUGUCAUGCCAUUCUCAUGACUAAACAGUCCCAUAGCAUUGAAUAACUCCUUCAGAGCCAGAAAGACUAAGCAAAAUCUUCAAUUCUUUUUGCAGGGAGAAAGAAUCUAUUAUCAGCGCAGACUUCACAGCAAGCGGUGGGGAAAUAAUAUUGGUCGGUAUGGCCAAGAAGACAGAGCCGUAGGAUCCCUUCCCCCCAAGCACUUCCCGCGAACCCAGUCCAUGGUGAGCGAAUACAGGUUAUAGUGGAUAAUGAGCGAGAAUAGUACCGUAGAAUCCUUAGGAGCAAGAAAGGAAUUGUCAGAAGAAAAUAGCAAUCUCAACCGAUAAUGGCAAAGAUGAUCGUACAUUAUGGAUAUUAAAUUGUUAUGCUUAGCUGAGAUUGCCAAUGGGAAGAAAAAUGUUGCCAGAAAUUAUGCUGAGCUGAGGCAGGCAAUGGGAAGGAAUCAUGAAGCUGUUAUGAACUUGAGUUUGCCUUUGUGUUUGCAACCUAUUGUGGAAGAACUAACGGUGCUUGUUAGAGAUAACUGUCCGGUCUCUGAGUAUUUAGGAGAUUCAAUUCUGGAAUGAACUUAGCUGCCCUUUAGUUGAUUUCAACUAGCUUUUAAAUACAAAAAUAUAACAGAAAAAUCAAGAUUCUCUGAAGCUAAAUCACUCAAGUUUGUUUGCAGCAACUGAAGUUUAAAUUUUAAACUUAAAUAGCCACAUCUAAUCCAGCUUCUUUUUUCCCAUGUGAAUAGUGCCUGUAAAUCUGCCCAAGGUAGGGAUCCAGCUUAAACUGAAUUUCCCUGGUCCUUGGGUAACUGAUUGGAGCUCAUAACAUUAUAUGACUGAUGCAGGAUGUCAUGUGAUGAAGGAUGUCAUGUGAUGAAGGGCUAGGAUAAAAGAAUUAUAACCUUGAGAGUUGUGGUACUCCUGGUAGGAAGGUUGGGUGAGGAAAGUCUACGAUAAAGAGAUUUCAGUUUAGGAUGUAACAUAGUAAGGAGUAAGGACAUACUAUGCUUUUUGUAAUGGAACCAGGGAAUGGAUUUUGUAGGAAGAUAUUGCUGAGGAUUCAAGAAGAGCAGGGAGGCAACAGGAAUAACAAAGAGGAGCAAGUAUCCAGCAAGAGAAAUAAAGGGUCUAGUAAAGAACUGGAUUUCAACACGUCCAACAAAAUACUUAGAAGAUUACAUGACUUGUGCUCAUGUAUGAAAAAUUAUUCUUAUUGAAAUAAUCCUUGCUCAUGAGCUUCCUCUGAGCUAGUAGUUUUAAGCUACUUAUGAGCUGUUAUAUGGAGAAGCUACCAGCUAUCUAAAAAAAAAAUGAGAAAUUCUUUAACAAUGCUUUAAUUUAUUAAAAACUACUUUUUCAUGUAGAAAUUAUUGAGCUUUCGAGGAAAUUAAAAAAAUCCACUUCCAAGCUUAUGAACUUUCUGAAUUUUUGGAACUAAACAAUUCAAUUAUUUAAUGUUUUUUAAACUGCUGUUAAAACAUUUCUCUUAUUUUUUAAAUAAAUUUUAACUAUUAAAUAAGGUGUUCUUAAAUUAGAAAGAUUAUGGCCUUAGUAUCAUCCAGUUGAAAAAUAGAGGUUCAUUAGACAAAUCUCCAUAAGCUUAGGGGGUCAAAAAUGGUUUGGUUUUCCUCUAACU